UGAUAGCUAUGAAGCGCGAGGUUGCUGCCGGGCACGAAUAAGGAUGACCCGGGAGGUUUUCCGUGGAGCGAAUGUCAAGUUAGGAAACUGACGACAA
rnacentral:ncRNA from 1 species